rnacentral:rRNA from 1 species
CAGUCGAACGAAACUUCUUUAUCACCGAGUGCUUGCACUCACCGAUAAAGAGUUGAGUGGCGAACGGGUGAGUAACACGUGGGCAACCUGCCCAAAAGAGGGGGAUAACACUUGGAAACAGGUGCUAAUACCGCAUAACCAUAGUUACCGCAUGGUAACUAUGUAAAAGGUGGCUAUGCUACCGCUUUUGGAUGGGCCCGCGGCGCAUUAGCUAGUUGGCGGGGUAAAGGCUUACCAAGGCAAUGAUGCGUAGCCGAACUGAGAGGUUAAUCGGCCACAUUGGGACUGAGACACGGCCCAAACUCCUACGGGAGGCAGCAGUAGGGAAUCUUCCACAAUGGGCGAAAGCCUGAUGGAGCAACGCCGCGUGGGUGAAGAAGGUCUUCGGAUCGUAAAACCCUGUUGUUAGAGAAGAAAGUGCGUGAGAGUAACUGUUCACGUUUCGACGGUAUCUAACCAGAAAGCCACGGCUAACUACGUGCCAGCAGCCGCGGUAAUACGUAGGUGGCAAGCGUUAUCCGGAUUUAUUGGGCGUAAAGGGAACGCAGGCGGUCUUUUAAGUCUGAUGUGAAAGCCUUCGGCUUAACCGGAGUAGUGCAUUGGAAACUGGGAGACUUGAGUGCAGAAGAGGAGAGUGGAACUCCAUGUGUAGCGGUGAAAUGCGUAGAUAUAUGGAAGAACACCAGUGGCGAAAGCGGCUC